GUCGCCAUCGUACAAUGGAUAGUACAAGGUCCUCCUAAGACUUAGAUGUGGGUUCGAUUCCCGCUGGCGAUACCA
rnacentral:tRNA from 2 species